rnacentral:rRNA from 1 species
CCUACGGGAGGCUGCAGUGGGGAAUAUUGGACAAUGGGGGCAACCCUGAUCCAGCCAUGCCGCGUGUGUGAAGAAGGCCCUCGGGUUGUAAAGCACUUUCAGUGAGGAAGAACGCCUGGUGGUUAAUACCCAUCAGGAAAGACAUCACUCACAGAAGAAGCACCGGCUAACUCCGUGCCAGCAGCCGCGGUAAUACGGAGGGUGCGAGCGUUAAUCGGAAUUACUGGGCGUAAAGCGCGCGUAGGUGGCUUGAUAAGCCGGUUGUGAAAGCCCCGGGCUCAACCUGGGAACGGCAUCCGGAACUGUCAAGCUAGAGUGCAGGAGAGGAAGGUAGAAUUCCCGGUGUAGCGGUGAAAUGCGUAGAGAUCGGGAGGAGUACCAGUGGCGAAGGCGGCCUUCUGGACUGACACUGACACUGAGGUGCGAAAGCGUGGGUAGCAAACAGGAUUAGAUACCCGGGUAGUC